rnacentral:rRNA from 1 species
UACGUAGGGUGCGAGCGUUGUCCGGAAUUACUGGGCGUAAAGCGUGCGCAGGCGGUUUGUUAAGUCUGUUGUGAAAUCCCCGAGCUCAACUUGGGAAUUGCAAUGGAUACUGGCAGGCUGGAGUAUGGUAGAGGAAGGUGGAAUUCCCGGUGUAGCAGUGAAAUGCGUAGAGAUCGGGAGGAACACCAGUGGCGAAGGCGGCCUUCUGGACCAAUACUGACGCUCAUGCACGAAAGCGUGGGGAGCAAACAGG